UUUUUACUUUAGAUUUUUAUUUCUUGUUAAGAUAGAUUUCUGGAAGUGGAAUUAUUGAAUUAAAGGGUAGGAAUAAUUUCAGGUACUUUGUGUCAUGGUGCAAAAGUCCAAAAGGACUGUGCAAAUGAAAGAACCAGUAUGCCCUGUAACGCCACCAACUUUGGAGUCAGUCAGUCAGUUCUAGCUCUGAAUAUCAGCAUCCAUGCUCUGUGACCUGGAACAAGUCAUUUUACCUCACUGAAUACUCUCCCAAUUUGUAAAUAAGCCAUCAAAAGAAAAAUAAUAAGGUGGCUCAUAAUAUUCACUUCAGAAAAUUGUUAGGAUUAAAAAUAAACACAGUUAAAUUUUUUUUGGUAAUAGUUGAUUUGACAAAUAUUAAUUAUUCGAUUAAGCUAAGAAAAAGACUGGAUGGCUGGGGGGAGAGGUGGCUUGGAGGAAGCCCCACAGGUAACAGGUAACAGAUAACAUUAUUACUACAUUUGUAUAUUCAUUUGGGUUACACAAAUCCAAGCUGUGCUAGGAACUUGGAAUAUAGUGAGUAACAAAAACAGAUGGAGACCAGCAUUACAUAAAAAAUUAUCGAAAGAACAUACAAUUGCAAACCACGACAAACGAACUUUUAAAUAAAGUAAGGGGAACAACGAAGAGGCUCUAGAAGAUAUCAAGCGACAUCAAAAAGACAAACUUCAAAGGUGACUAGAGCCCUUAGCCCACUGAAGGAGUAUACUUAUCAGCAACCCCUUCUGGAACUUUUUAUGUGUUUGGGGCUCUCUCCGCUAACAUCCCUAGGGGCCCGAGAGAGCUACAAAGUGGGCGGUGUGUCCAGACCGAAGGGGUGGGGCCCUGCCCCGGGGAGUGGCUCAGCACAGGAUCCCCAGGGACAACCCCGGGCAGGUCUGGGGAAGGAGGUCGGGGCCAUGGGCGCGGGCACCACGGGGUCCGACGACGCCGAGGCGCUGGACGCAGUGCUGGGCACGCUGCUGGCAGUACUGGUGCUGGUGGUGGUCAAGGCGGCCGUGGACGUGCUGCGGCGGCGGCGAGCGCACGCGACCGUCCUGGUGGUGGGCGCAGGGCCGGUGGGGCUGACCGCGGCUCUCGUCGCUGUCCGCUCGAGCCGGGUGCUGAAGCUGACCGUGCUGGACGCGUGCGCGCGGGGUCCGCUGCUGGGGCGCCCGCAGCAGAUUGCGCUGGACCCCCGCAGCGUCCGCUUCCUCCAGCCGCUGGGAGUGGACUUCGACAACAUGGAAGGCUGCUGGCGCAAUGGCCAAUUCUUCACCCGGGUCGGCGUCUUCCAGGAGCACCUGCUCAGCCUCCUGGAGAGGAAGGGCCAGCUGCCUGGCUUUCGUCUUAUUCUGGGCACCAAGUUUACAGAUGACUUCAUGAGAAAGGUGGUAGUGCCAGACUGGCCCAAAAUCAUUGUGGUGGCUGAUGGCUCCCAUGGGGAGACCUGCUCUGUUCUGGGGCUCAGUCCAGAUUAUGUAGUGGAAUCCUGCAAUGCUUACGGAGCUAACGCCACCAUCACGAGACUGGACCAGAGACAGAAUGGCUGCCCCCGAGUCAUGUAGGUUUGCGCCUGGGAACUGAACCUGGGCCGCUGAAGAGGAGCGUGCUGAACUUCACCACCAGGCCAGCGGGCCGGCUCAAGGACAGUUGUUUUUAAUUCCUCAAAGAAUUGGUUUGUAAACUGAAUGAUAUCAUAUCAAGACUCUGACCCAACCAUGCAACUACAGUAUCCUCAAUUUGCUUCUUUAUGUCAGGGAAGAGAUCUUCAACUAAAAAGGAAAUCAAAAGAUCCCAAUAGUCUAGAUUUAGAGCUGUGUUCCUUUGAAAGGUUUUAGUAAAUCCUUCCACAGCAGCUUCAGAAUGUUUUUCAUUCCCUCAGGGUAAGUAGUUUCAUUUUAGCUUAGGGGAGAAGGCCUAAGAAAAUGUUCCUAUCAGGCUCUGAAUAUCAGCUUCCAAUUUGGCCAACUUCUGACUGAGGGGGAGCAGAAUAUGCCACCCCAGAAUGUGCCACUUUGGCAUAUGGGUUAUUUUGAGCUGAAGACAAUCAGGGCCCAGCAGACUCAGGAAGAGCUUUUAACCUCCCCCUUAACUGCCUUGAAGAAUUUAGAUAGGAGGCCUAUACCAGGAAGUGGGCCUGUACCAGGAAGAAAGAUUAUUACUGGAGAUAACUUUUUAUAUCAGAAAGACUUAUCUGCAUGGCAUGGCAAAUAUUUGUUUACCAAACAUUUGUUCUUGUCAUCUUCCUAUGAAUUGUCUUCCUCCCCUUUGAAGCCCCACACCCUUAGCCACUUCUCCUUAACUCAGUAUGGUAUAUAAGCCUCCAUUACCUGACUGCUGGAGAGUCUCCAAUUUUUAUGGGGCUCCCUUAUGUAUGAA
ensembl:lncRNA